GGAUGCAUUGUCUACAUGUAAGAAAUGAUUGAGGGAAUUGCACUGGAUACAUAGAAAGAAGUGUAGCCAAUAUUCUGUAUGUGACCCUGUGGAAGAAGAUGAGUAAGGUAUCUAUAGGCUGGGGAUAUGUUAUGGCUGUGUCUAGAUGUCCCUCCAAAGCCUCAUGCAGUCAUAGGUGGGCUUUUUCAGAGAUAGCUGAAUCUAGAGUGUGUAAUGCUGGAAAUGAUUCAUGGUGCAAUUCUAGGCUCAAGGGCACUAAGAUUAAAGGUGUAUUACCCACCCUAAGUAACCUGGAUUGGAUAUAAGGGAUUGAAAGAGCUGUGGUUGUUGCUUAUUGCCUUGCUACCUUCUGCCUUCCAUGAACUGUUUCUUCUCUGUGAUGCCAGCCUGCCCUGGAACCAGCCAGUUAUGGACUGAAACCUCUGAAAACUGAGACCAUGGACACUCACAGAAUUUGAGGCUCAAGAGGAGCAUAUCAUUGGUUGUAAUCUCUUCAUAGAGAGGAUACUGCCUGGACUGGCGACUCCUAGUGAGUGAACAAGGUUAUCCCAGAGACUUGUAAAGAUUAAAUGUUCUGGGGCCGGGGAUUUACCUCAGUGGUGCCGCUGUCUGCCUCGCAAGCACAAGGUC
rnacentral:lncRNA from 1 species